CACUGAGCCAAUCACGGCGCAACUAGAGAAAAUUAAUAACACCUACGCUCUGUGCUCUCGCUGGCUGCCCCUCCACCACAGAAAUCACUGAGCUAGGCUGAAACGCCUCCAUGUUUCUAAACAGGUAGGGUGGGUCGCCACUGGCGUGCGCACAUAGGAGGUCCCGUGAAAAAUGUGCCCGCCUAUGGAAUUCAAAGGCCUGUCCAACUGAUUCGCCGGCCCUGCAACAUGGUGUCCCAUAUUAAGUACUACUGCUUGGAUAGAUAGGAGGUAUAGGGGUUGCAAGCAUACAGGUAUAGAUUCUGUACUGUAUCUAACUCUAUGAUUCCAAGUCAUUGCACUGAUUGUGCAACCCAAAGACACAUCAUGUGUCACACUGUCACACACUGUGAACAGACUGUGUGAAGCACCUUUUCUCCUCAUAGGCAGUACUCAAAUGAGUUGGACUUACGUUGUGUUGCUGAAGUUAUGUUGCUGAAUUGCGUCCAGGUUCUCUUCUUUCUCCCAAAGUGUGCACUUCUAUACUUUUUUUUCAUGGAUUUAGCAAUGGAAACUCCCUCCUUUCAAUGCUUACACCAAUCCUAUACUUUUCAAUUCAUGACAAGAAGUGCACACUUAGGGAGAAGGGUGAAGAAUUGGGACGUAGCCUUUGUGUGCUCUCUCAACCACCUCUAUGCUAACAAAAGAACAUACGGGAUACUCUACGGCAUGACAUUUAAUUCUAUUCAUAUUGAAGUCCCAUUCUGUCUCACUGAGUUCUUCUAUAUGACAUGUUGCAAGUGUGGAGGAAAUUAAUUUAUUACAUACUAUGCUGUUUAAUUAGACAUACUAUGCUGUUUUAUUUACUUAAAAAUUGUCCAUGGUUAAAUGCUAGUAUUAUUUGCUGUUACAAACUUGUCUUGUGUGACUUAGUCAUAAAUCCGAGCGUACAGAUUUAGGAGCCGUUUGGGUAUGACCUGUGUUUACAAUCGGCAGGAAUUUAGCUAUGUGGGAAUUGCAGGGAGGAACAUAGAAUGGUGGCGAUAUCGUUUAUCUUGAUCUGCACAGAUGAGCUAAACUACUUUUAACAACUCUGUUCACCUGCCGGCCCUGUUUAUGCACAUCUGCUAACUGUCACAUAGAUAAGAGGAUGUACUUUCUAUAAAAGGAGAGAGCCAACUGUUCAUUGGGCUUUCAACUCUGAACUAUUUGAGUAGUAUUAUUGAUUACUCCAUUGUUGCAAAUCUCAUUGUUGCAAAUCUUGCUGUUUGAAGAAAUCUACAGUCUCUCUUCAUUUGUUAGAAUUCCCAUCACAAUUUGGCAAAGACAUAGGAUGGCUAACUCCGUCUACUGAUCGUUCCCGGGGUGACCGAGGUUAUCUGCACACGGGCUGCGUUAGACGUGGCUCGGGGAGCCCACACUUAGCGGAGCAGAAAGGGACCUGCCUCGAACCCGGCAGGGAGCGUUAGUAAGAUGGAUAAGCCAUCCCGAACAUACAGAGUUAAGGGUGAGACUGAUUUUCUUUCAAACAUCAUAGAAAAUCCUGUUCUGGGAACAGAUUGUGCACUUUAGGUCUUUUGUUGGAGCAAAAGACACCCCUAGUUAGAAACUCAGUUAUUUCUAAUAGGGGAAGUCCUAUCAUUUUUAAUUAGGAACUCUGUUGCAGCAGAGAUAUCUUUAAUUAAAGGAGAAAUUCUGGGACGACUUGCCCUGUUGGAGCAGGGUAGGGGGGUUCUCUGUUGAGCACAGAAGCGGACAUGGGAUGACAUGACAUGGUUACGAGUUAUGUGAUCCCAGGGCACAAUCCUGAGAUAGAAGUUAGAAAAAUAUUCCUGCAGGUUAGAAAACAUUGUAAAAGAAAAUAAAUGAAUCAGUGGACUGGUAAAACAGUUGGUUAUGAUUGGGAAACCAGCUAUAAAUUUAAACCCUACACGGAUAUUUGCAUUGGAGGAACUGCCAUGUGGGUACAAAAUGUAAAAUUACAUAGAGUGAUUAAAAAAUAUUUUGAGGGAGUGUGUUUGUUUUUGUUUCCUGAGUGUGUGUGUGUGUGUGUGU
rnacentral:lncRNA from 1 species